GGGCGAUACGCGAAUUGGAAAGCGAGCUAUCUCGAAAAUAGCCACCCUUACGGGGUUGAGGGUUCGAGUCCCUUGUCGCCCU
rnacentral:tRNA from 1 species